UCCAUUCCGUAUUGACCUUUGAACCUGGAGCCGUUCUAGCCACCAUUCGACUGUAAAAUGAAGGAGGGAGACGACCUUUUACUGUCUAUGGAGACGACUGCUGCGCUGACGGACAGAACGAGCAGAGUUCCUCCCUCGUGCGUGAGAGCUCUCUCUGUCUUCAAAAGAUCCUACUGCUUGAGCAGCCAUGGUAACAGCCCUAAGGAAGGACCUCCAUUUCAGAAAAACACGGAGGAAUUCAAGCCAAUUGAGUUAUUUUAAUGAGGUAAAAAGACGAAGGCAAAUAUUUACCCUGAGAGGCAGCGAGUUUUGUCCCGUGGGCUGGAGAUAUGGGAAUCAGCAGGGAGAUAUUGCACUAGUCCCGGAUAGCUCCUGUUACACAGGUACACCAUACAAC